rnacentral:rRNA from 1 species
AGUCUGGCCUGCUCAAUGAUUAUUUAAAUGGCUGCAGUAUUUUGACUGUACAAAGGUAGCAUAAUCAUUUGUCUUUUAAAUGGAGACUGGAAUGAAAGGUUGGAUGAAAUAUAUACUUUCUUUACUUUUUAAAAAAAAAUUGAUUUUUUGGUAAAAAAGCCAAAAUUUAUUUGGAGGACGAGAAGACCCUUUAGAGCUUGAUUGUCUUUUUGAUAUAGGAUUUUUGGGUUAGAUAAAUAUUUUAUGUUUAGUUGAUAAUUUAAUUGGGGUGAUUGGAAAAAAUUUAUAACUUUUCUUUUUUUAUUCAUUUAUAUAUGAAUAGUUGAUCCUUUAUUAUAGAUUAUAAGAUUAAGCUACCUCAGGGAUAACAGCGUUAUCAUUUUGGAGAGUUCAUAUCGAUGAAAUGGUUUGCGACCUCGAUGUUGGAUUAAAAUAAAUAAUAGGGGUAGAAUUUUAUU